rnacentral:rRNA from 1 species
UUUAUGGAGAGUUUGAUCCUGGCUCAGGACGAACGCUGGCGGCGUGCCUAAUACAUGCAAGUCGAGCGGACUUGAUGGGAGCUUGCUCUCGUCAA